rnacentral:tRNA from 1 species
GAGGGUAUAGCUCAGUGGUAGAGCACAUGCUUAACAUGUACAAGGGCCUGGGUUCAAUCCCCAGUACCUCCA